GCCUGGCUAGCUCAAUCGGCUAGAGCAUUCGACUCUUAAUUACCAUAGUAAUCGAAAGGUUGCGGGUUCGAGUCCCGCGUUGGGCU
rnacentral:tRNA from 2 species